AUUGAACGCUGGCGGCAUGCCUUACACAUGCAAGUCGAACGGCAGCACGGGAGCAAUCCUGGUGGCGAGUGGCGAACGGGUGAGUAAAGUAUCGGAACGUGCCCAGUCGUGGGGGAUAACGUAGCGAAAGUUACGCUAAUACCGCAUACGAUCUAUGGAUGAAAGCGGGGGAACGCAAGACCUCGCGCGAUCGGAGCGGCCGUUAUCAGAUUAGGUAGUUGGUGGGGUAAAGGCUCACCAAGCCGACGAUCUGUAGCUGGUCUGAGAGGACGACCAGCCACACUGGGACUGAGACACGGCCCAGACUCCUACGGGAGGCAGCAGUGGGGAAUUUUGGACAAUGGGCGAAAGCCUGAUCCAGCCAUGCCGCGUGCAGGAUGAAGGCCUUCGGGUUGUAAACUGCUUUUGUACGGAACGAAAAGGUUUGGCCUAAUAAGCUGAGCUCAUGACGGUACCGUAAGAAUAAGCACCGGCUAACUACGUGCCAGCAGCCGCGGUAA
rnacentral:rRNA from 1 species